rnacentral:rRNA from 1 species
CCUACGGGAGGCUGCAGUGAGGAAUAUUGGUCAAUGGUCGGGAGACUGAACCAGCCAAGCCGCGUGAGGGAUGAAGGUACAGAGUAUCGUAAACCUCUUUUGUCAGGGAACAAAGGCGGGGACGUGUCCCCGGAUGAGUGUACCUGAAGAAAAAGCAUCGGCUAACUCCGUGCCAGCAGCCGCGGUAAUACGGGGGAUGCGAGCGUUAUCCGGAUUUAUUGGGUUUAAAGGGUGCGCAGGCGGGCUGUUAAGUCAGAUGUCAAAGCCCGGGGCUCAACCCCGGCCCGCCGUUGAAACGGGCAGUCGCGAGUUGGAGAGAAGUAUGCGGAAUGCGCGGUGUAGCGGUGAAAUGCAUAGAUAUCGAGCAGAACUCCGAUUGCGAAGGCAGCAUGCCGGCUCCACACUGACGCUGAGGCACGAAAGCGUGGGUAUCGAACAGGAUUAGAUACCCCUGUAGUC